CCUACGGGGGGCUGCAGUGGGGAAUAUUGGACAAUGGGCGAAAGCCUGAUCCAGCCAUGCCGCGUGUGUGAAGAAGGCCUUCGGGUUGUAAAGCACUUUCAGUGGGGAAGAAAGCCUUGGGGCUAAUACCCUCGAGGAAGGACAUCACCCACAGAAGAAGCACCGGCUAACUCCGUGCCAACAGCCGCGGUAAUACGGAGGGUGCGAGCGUUAAUCGGAAUUACUGGGCGUAAAGCGCGCGUAGGCGGUCUGAUAAGCCGGUUGUGAAAGCCCCGGGCUCAACCUGGGAACGGCAUCCGGAACUGUCAGGCUAGAGUGCAGGAGAGGAAGGUAGAAUUCCCGGUGUAGCGGUGAAAUGCGUAGAGAUCGGGAGGAAUACCAGUGGCGAAGGCGGCCUUCUGGACUGACACUGACGCUGAGGUGCGAAAGCGUGGGUAGCAAACAGGAUUAGAUACCCCAGUAGUC
rnacentral:rRNA from 1 species